CAGCGCGGGGUGCGGCGCGUUCGUUUCUGCACGUCCUUACUUUAGGGAGGAACCAACUGUACUUGCCCGGGCUUCAGUACCGCGCUCCCACACCUCCCUUCCCCUCAAUGGUUGCCGCCAGCCAACCUCUUUUUUUCAUUGGGGACAAGCUUUCACGCCAGGCGUCCUUCUCUCGGCUUGGAACCGGACUGGAUUUUUCUUCCAACAAUUUAGCACACCAGAUGGGACUCCAAGCUAACCUGACCAACGGAUCUGGCUCAGGUAAACCUCCACCUUGAUGGCAGCAGACCCCUUGUGUCUGUGGGUUUCCCGGACCGUGCCCGUUUGGAGCAAGGGUAGUAAAGGGCUGCUUGGAAAGGAGCAACAAACCUGUAAGGGGUUUUGGGCUUAGAGAGAGUGAUUGGCCCGAAGUCACUCAGCCAGCUUUCAUGCCUAAAGUGGGAUUAGCACUCAUGGUCUCCUGGUUUCUAGCCUAGUGCUUUAACCAUUAGACCCCCGACAAAGCUUAACCUUGGAGGAGUCCGCGUGCAUGAAGAAAAUUCUGACUAAUAUUUAUGUGAAUAAAACCCUAUGAGAACACUGAUAUGUUUGCAAUUUGGCGUUCUCUGGAUUUCAAUCAGAUGCAAUGUUGAGAUCCCUUUUAAAAAUCAAUAGAUUAAACCUUUAUUUGCCUUCAUGUGACUCACUUAUGUGGCUCAGAGAAAAAACCUUUAUAGCCAGGCAAUAAAACGGAGCACUUCAUGAUGGUGUUUACGUGGAAAA